UACGUAGGGGGCAAGCUUUGUCCGGAUUUAUUGGGCGUAAAGAGCGUGUAGGCGGUCUGGUAGGUCCGUUGUGAAAACUCGAGGCUCAACCUCGAGACGCCGAUGGAAACCAUCAGACUAGAGUCCGGAAGAGGAGAGUGGAAUUCCUGGUGUAGCGGUGAAAUGCGCAGAUAUCAGGAAGAACACCCGUGGCGAAGGCGGCUCUCUAGUACGGUACUGACGCUGAGACGCGAAAGCGUGGGGAGCGAACAGG
rnacentral:rRNA from 1 species